CACGAGCGGCCAUGGGGGCAGCCUCUCCCCCAAGCACCACUGCUCACCUUGGCCUUCCUCCCCAACAAUAUCCUGAUGCUGAGUGAGCGGCACACAGAGACUCCAGCAUCAGUGAUUUUGUUGAAGAGGGUGGCUGCCAGCUUCUUCC
rnacentral:miRNA from 1 species